AUACGGAGGGUGCAAGCGUUAUCCGGAUUCAUUGGGUUUAAAGGGUGCGCAGGCGGAAUGAUAAGUCAGUGGUGAAAUCCUACAGCUUAACUGUAGAACUGCCAUUGAUACUGUCAUUCUUGAGUACACUUGAAGUGGGCGGAAUGUAUCAUGUAGCGGUGAAAUGCAUAGAUAUGAUACAGAACUCCGAUAGCGAAGGCAGCUCACUAAAUUGUACCUGACGCUCAGGCACGAAAGCGUGGGGAGCAAACAGGAUUAGAUACCCCGGUAGUCC
rnacentral:rRNA from 1 species